rnacentral:rRNA from 1 species
AGAAUAAUUCACAAUGGGGGCAACCCUGAUGGUGCAACGCCGCGUGGAGGAUGACGGUCUUCGGAUUGUAAACUCCUGUCAUCCGGGAGUAAGACCUGGUCGUUAAUAGCGAACAGGCUUGAUAGUACCGGAAGAGGAAGGGACGGCUAACUUCGUGCCAGCAGCCGCGGUAAUACGAAGGGCCCGAGCGUUGUUCGGAAUCACUGGGCGUAAAGGGAGCGUAGGCGGCGCGGUAAGUCAGAUGUGAAAUCCCGGGGCUCAACCCCGGAACUGCAUCCGAUACUGCCGUGCUAGAGGAUUGGAGAGGUAGCUGGAAUUCUUGGUGUAGCAGUGAAAUGCGUGGAGAUCAAGAGGAACACUCGUGGCGAAAGCGAGCUACUGGACAAUAUCUGACGCUGAGGCUCGAAGGCCAGGGUAGCGAAAG